rnacentral:rRNA from 1 species
CUGGCGGCGUGCCUAAUACAUGCAAGUCGAACGGUCUUUCUAUGGAAGCUUGCUUCCACUGAGAAGAUAGUGGCGAACGGGUGAGUAACACGUGGGUAACCUGCCCAUAAGAGGGGGGAUAACAUCCGGAAACGGGUGCUAAUACCGCAUAGUUUUCUUGAUUGCAUGAUUGAGAAAGGAAAGACGGCCUUUGUGCUGUCGCUUAUGGAUGGACCCGCGGCGUAUUAGUUAGUUGGUGAGGUAACGGCUCACCAAGACGAUGAUACGUAGCCGACCUGAGAGGGUGAUCGGCCACAUUGGGACUGAGACACGGCCCAAACUCCUACGGGAGGCAGCAGUAGGGAAUCUUCCGCAAUGGACGAAAGUCUGACGGAGCAACGCCGCGUGAGUGAAGAAAAGGUUUUCGGAUCGUAAAACUCUGUUGUCAGAGAAGAACAAGUUGGAGAGUAACUGCUCCAGCCUUGACGGUAUCUGACCAGAAAGCCACGGCUAACUACGUGCCAGCCGCUGC